rnacentral:tRNA from 1 species
GGCCCCGUAGUUCAGCGGUCAGGACGUCGCCCUCUCACGGCGAAAGCACGAGUUCGAUUCUCGUCGGGGCUA